AGUACACACUGUAAUGAAAGGUCAUAAACACCAAUGUAUCAUUUUUACAGUACGAAAGCAAGCCUCCACUUCCAGAACACAAGCAACACUGUCAAGAGCUGUGGAUGCUGGCGAUACAGGAACUUCAACAUCGCAUCACAGUCCACAAAGACGUCCUUCACAGGGGUCUGGCAGCCACACGAGCAGGCCUAGCAAGAGACGUCAUCCUGACGACGCACCAACACCAGCAUUAAGCACACCCCCACGUCGUAUUUCCACUGUGUUGCCUCAGCCACCAGAACACUCGAUCACAGGGUCCACAUUCCCCUCAGCUGUCUGAACCAGACAUCAUGCCCCCGGAAGCCCAGCAGGAAUCUGAACAGGAAACAUACACCCUCCAACUGCAAGCAAUAAAUGUUCACCAACCAAUCACGCCUCAGGAAAGUACCCCGCCACCUCAAAUGUCACCACACCCACAAUUGAGCCAAACAACCCCACCCCACCAACCUGAGCCAUCCUUUUGGUCAACAUGGAACCAACAACAGGCACAGAAUAUUGAUUGCCUACGCACACACACCCAAUACCUAGCCUGUCUGCCCCAUCAUCUACCGAGACUGUGUAGAAACACAAGCAGGCUCAAUGUCCAGCUAUGCAGAGUCGCAAACAGUAUGGAGCAGAUGAGAGCAGAUAACAGCCAACUUAUUGUUACCUUUCAGCGCAUAAUGGAUGAGCAACACCGACAACAACAGGCCCUCAUUCAGUUAAUUCAAAGUAAUCAAAUUAUAUCAGAAACCAUGUCUCGCAUCAUAGACAACAACACAACAGCCACAACACAACUUACCGCAACCCUGGCAAACCUCAGCCAAAAUAUUAAUUUGUUGGCACAACACCAACAAGGUUCCAGCUCAGGAACCAACACACCUACACAGACCCCAAUUUCAUCACCAGUUCGAAGAUCCAGCCGAACCCGCUCCACUGCCCAAACCAAACCCACGUCAGCCACCAAAGAACAGCCUAAGAAAUAGUCCACCCUGCAGCUGGAUACACAUUGUUGACAAAACUAGGUCUACACAAUAGCAGUUAUUUGUAAUGAAAACACAUGUUGUACAGUAAUACAUGUGAAAAGUGAUUGAUGUGCAAUGUGUUAUGUGUAAAAAAACUGUCAGUGUAAGAGCAAAUUUCUUAGAGUUAACACUCACAUGUGUUGGGAAUAUUCUAGCAUCAUUACUAACAUGAACGUUUACCACAUCACAGCCAUAAUUAUGUGUCAAAAAUUUUGUAAGGUUGGUGUUAGUCAAUGUAUGUAUGGCUAAUUGGCACACAAUACUAAAUGUCCAUUAUGUUGUGCUAAUGAGGUAACAUUUGAAACACAGCUUUAGAAGAAAGUCGACACACAACAAACACAAACAAUAGGCUAAACAAUAAUGGUUGUUAGUGCAUACUAAAUUAUUAUGUAGUAUUGUGGCAAACAUUACCUUUGAAUGUGUUUAAAAAACUUUGAACAUCCAAAUAUAUCAUCAAACGAUAUACUUCGUUCUCACACCAGAGCAUGUGCUCUAUUGCCUUACUCUCCAUAUACAACUAUGUUUCUAAACAUAUUGCAUAGAGCUUACUUGUCCCCUAACAGGAGUUUCUUGAUAGGUAAUUCACCAAAUUCCAAUUGUUACAAAUGUGGAGCUAACUCAGCAGAAUUAUUUCACUGUCUUUGGGAUUGCCCCGUAAUUCGAGGUUUUUGGACUCAGGUCAGGAAAUAUUCUACUGAUAGCUUGAUCAACUACAUCCCUAUGACACCUGAAUGGGCCCUGUUUGGUAUGCUUCCCCCUAAUACCCGUACAUCACAUGGGGGCAAGAGGCUCUUGCUGGCUAUAGGAGCAGCGGCCUGCAAAACCAUUUUACAAACUUGGUUACAACCCUCUCAGCCACUGUUGGCACUUUUUAAAGCUAAAUUACACUACCUAUUUAGGAUGCAGUGGGUGGAGGUGGUGCUGGAUAGAGAAAACAAAGUUGAGAGGUUCUUUCUAACGUGGGAGUCAUAUAUAGCUACCUUGUCACUGCCGUUAAGGACCCAAAUCCACAAUAGCUUUAAGGAUACAGUUUGGUAUAUGUCGCAGAUGGUCGCUAAUGACCCUCCG